GAUCAUGGCUCAGGAUGAACGCUAGCUACAGGCUUAACACAUGGCAAGUCGAGGGGCAGCAUGGUCUUAGCUUGCUAAGUUUGAUGGCGACCGGCGCACGGGUGAGUAACACGUAUCCAACCUGCCGAUGACUCGGGGAUAGCCUUUCGAAAGAAAGAUUAAUACCCGAUGGCAUAGUUCUUCCGCAUGGUAGAACUAUUAAAGAACUUCGGUCAUCGAUGGGGAUGCGUUCCAUUAGGUAGUAGGCGGGGUAACGGCCCACCUAGCCUACGAUGGAUAGGGGGUUCUGAGAGGAAGGCCCCCCACAUUGGAACUGAGACACGGGUCCAAACUCCUACGGGAGGCAGCAGUGAGGAAUAUUGGUCAAUGGACGAGAGUCUGAACCAGCCAAGUAGCGUGAAGGAUGAAGGUCUUACGAAUUGUAAACUUCUUUUAUAAGGGAAUAAGCCCUCCCACGUGUGGGAGCUUGUAUGUACCUUAUGAAUAAGCAUCGGCUAACUCCGUG
rnacentral:rRNA from 1 species